rnacentral:rRNA from 1 species
GACGAACGCUGGCGGCGUGCCUAAUACAUGCAAGUAGAACGCAGUUGCGAACGGGUGAGUAACGCGUAGGUCACUGCCUGGUAGCGGGGGAUAACUAUUGGAAACGAUAGCUAAUACCGCAUACUACCAGAUGGACCUGCGUUGUAUUAGCUAGGUUGUGAGGUAACGGCGCACCAAGGCAACGAUACAUAGCCGAACUGAGAGGGUGAUCGGACACACGUGGACUGAGACACGGCCCAGACUCCUACUGGAGGCCGCAGUAGGGAAUAUUCGGCAAUGGGGGGAAUACUGGCCGAGCAACGCCGCGUGAGUGAAGAAGGUUUUCGGAUCGUUAAGCUCUGUUGUUAAGGAAGCGGUACUUAACCAGAAAGGGACGGCUAACUACGUGCCAGCAGCCGCGGUAAUAC